rnacentral:rRNA from 1 species
UACGUAGGGUGCGAGCGUUAAUCGGAAUUACUGGGCGUAAAGCGUGCGCAGGCGGUUCGUUAUGUCCGAUGUGAAAGCCCCGAGCUUAACUUGGGAAUGGCAUUGGAAACUGGCGGGCUGGAGUGCGGCAGAGGGGGGUGGGAAUUCCACGUGUAGCAGUGAAAUGCGUAGAGAUGUGGAGGAAUACCGAUGGCGAAGGCAGCCCCCUGGGAUAACACUGACACUGAGGAGCGAAAGCCAGGGGAGCAAACGGG